CAAGAAACGAGGCCGCGUGCGCUCGCCCGCCCGGCCCCGCUCCUUACCUUGCCUACUGCACCGUUUGUUGCUUCCUGGCGGCGGACUGCCGCCGCCAGGGACGUUGAUACAACCCUGUAUAGAAGCAUUGAAGCUCUGAGAAAACGCGAAAUCGUA
rnacentral:misc_RNA from 1 species